rnacentral:rRNA from 1 species
GAUCCUGGCUCAGGAUGAACGCUAGCUACGGGCUUAACACAUGCAAGUCGAGGGGAAACGACAUCGAAAGCUUGCUUUUGAUGGGCGUCGACCGGCGCACGGGUGAGUAACGCGUAUCCAACCCGCCCAUCACUUGGGGAUAACCUUGCGAAAGUAAGACUAAUACCCAAUGAUAUCUCUAGAAGACAUCUGAAGGAGAUUAAAGAUUUAUCGGUGAUGGAUGGGGAUGCGUCUGAUUAG